UGGGGAAUAUUGCACAAUGGGCGCAAGCCUGAUGCAGCCAUGCCGCGUGUAUGAAGAAGGCCUUCGGGUUGUAAAGUACUUUCAGCGGGGAGGAAGGCGAUAAGGUUAAUAACCUUGUCGAUUGACGUUACCCGCAGAAGAAGCACCGGCUAACUCCGUGCCAGCAGCCGCGGUAAUACGGAGGGUGCAAGCGUUAAUCGGAAUUACUGGGCGUAAAGCGCACGCAGGCGGUCUGUCAAGUCGGAUGUGAAAUCCCCGGGCUCAACCUGGGAACUGCAUUCGAAACUGGCAGGCUAGAGUCUUGUAGAGGGGGGUAGAAUUCCAGGUGUAGCGGUGAAAUGCGUAGAGAUCUGGAGGAAUACCGGUGGCGAAGGCGGCCCCCUGGACAAAGACUGACGCUCAGGUGCGA
rnacentral:rRNA from 1 species